rnacentral:sRNA from 1 species
AUAUACCUCCUGGUCAAGUCAGCCCAGCUUCGCUCCUUCAACACAGAGUGGUGUCUUACAUGCUAAUACAGAAAACUGCUGCAGACAUCAACCACGCAAGUGAGCAAAUCAAAAAAGGUGUACUGCGUAUUCCAAAGGAGUCGGCCCCAGUCUCUUCACCUGUAUCAACUUCGUCACAAGGCUGCCUGCCUCCAAUUCCUUUGCAAAAACUUACCUGAUAUUCCUGCACCAAGAAUUCUUCACUGGGAUGAUCAUGCUUUUAUUACACAGGAAUUUAUUGAUGAAGAGCGCCUAAGCAUUGCCUUGCCUUGCCACGGCUCUCUGAAGAUCAAAAGGCAACAAUUACUUGGGUAUUGCCUGCAUUAUUGCCA